AGCGAACGCUGGCGGCAGGCCUAACACAUGCAAGUCGAACGAACCUUUCGGGGUUAGUGGCGGACGGGUGAGUAACACGUGGGAACGUGCCUUUAGGUUCGGAAUAACUCAGGGAAACUUGUGCUAAUACCGAAUGUGCCCUUCGGGGGAAAGAUUAAUCGCCUUUAGAGCGGCCCGCGUCUGAUUAGCUAGUUGGUUGAGGUAAUGGCUCACCAAGGCGACGAUCAGUAGCUGGUCUGAGAGGAUGAUCAGCCACAUUGGGACUGAGACACGGCCCAAACCCCAAGGGAAGGAGGAAGUGGGGAAUCUGGGGAAAUGGCGAAAGCCUGACGCAGCCAUGCCGCGUGAAUGAUGAAGGUCUUAGGAUUGUAAAAUUCUUUCACCGGGGACGAUAAUGACGGUACCCGGAGAAGAAGCCCCGGCUAACUUCGUG
rnacentral:rRNA from 1 species